AACUGAGUUUUUGAAAGUUUAUGUCACACUCUUUGCAUGCAUCUUCUUCCCCAAAACUCUGAAAUUCUCAUUUCUCCUCCUUCUCUCUAAAAGCUCUCCCUUCUCUCUACGAAAUCUCACCCUUUCUCUUCUCUGAUCAUUUCAGACACCAUAGAAGCACUUCCGACGUCCAAAGCUUCAGUUUGAACCGAUCACUUUCGAGUUCUGAACUAUUAGUUGAAGAAUUGUUGAGCGUAAGGGUAGAAGAAAUUGUAGUCAGGCAAACCGUAUUCUAUCUCUAGGACGUUCGUUCACGCUCAGAAAAGGAGACGAACUGCUGGAAGAGGAGUUAGAAGAAGAAAAUCUAGUUGAGAUUGAAGUUAAGACCGAAGAGUAGGACGUUCGGCCAGUAGUCUAGUUAUAGUAAGGUGGUCAUUCGAUCACCUUCUGUUUUGUUUGACCGUUCGGUAUAGGUUUUGUAAACCGUUCGGUCUGAAUUACUUAAGACGUUAGGUUUAAAUUUCUACUCUUUCUGAAAGGCCGUUCAUCCAUAAUCGUUCGCUCUACUUUAGUG